rnacentral:rRNA from 1 species
GAUGAACGCUAGCGGCAGGCCUAAUACAUGCAAGUCGAGGGGCAGCGCAGUGUAGCAAUACAUGGGCGGCGACCGGCAAACGGGUGCGGAACACGUACGCAACCUUCCUUCAAGUGGGGGAUAGCCCAGAGAAAUUUGGAUUAAUACCCCGUAAGAUGGUGGUCUGGCAUCAGACAGCCAUUAAAGCUGAGGCGCUUGAAGAUGGGCGUGCGUCUGAUUAGGUAGUUGGUGAGGUAACGGCUCACCAAGCCGACGAUCAGUAACUGGCGUGAGGGCGCGACCAGUAACACGGGCACUGAGACACAGGCCCGACUCCUACGGGAGGCAGCAGUAAGGAAUAUUGGUCAAUGGACGCAAGUCUGAACCAGCCAUGCCGCGUGAAGGAUGAAGGUCCUCUGGAUUGUAAACUUCUUUUAUGUGGGAAGAGACCACCUUUUUCUAAGGGUGUUGACGGUACCAUAGGAAUAAGCACCGGCUAACUCCGUGCCAGCCGCCGCAGUAACAC